rnacentral:rRNA from 1 species
UACGUAGGGUGCAAGCGUUAAUCGGAAUACUGGGCGUAAAGCGUGCGCAGGCGGUUGUGCAAGACCGAUGUGAAAUCCCCGGGCUUAACCUGGGAAUGGCAUUGGUGACUGCACGGCUAGAGUGUGUCAGAGGGGGGUAGAAUUCCACGUGUAGCAGUGAAAUGCGUAGAGAUGUGGAGGAAUACCGAUUGCGAAGGCAG